UGUCACAACAUAUCACCCUGCAGCCCAAGACUGGUUACUCACAAAGGUAAGCAGGGCUGAGCCUGGUCAGUACCUGGACUGGAGGUCACAUGGGAAAACUAGGCUGCUGUUGGAA
rnacentral:rRNA from 1 species